AGUUACAAAGACUCGAAAAAAACCUCAUCAGAAAAGCUUGGUUCAUUAUCAGUUCCUUCCAAGCCUCUCCAAGUGUACCAUAGAAGACGUAACAAGUGUGAAAAAGUUGAGCCAUUCAUUGAAGGGCAUAACAAGCCUGUCCAGGCAAAUGUUUUUACUACAAAUGUUGUUCCACUGUCAUUUUUUCUGUUUCUAAUCUUAACUAUGCUACUAACUAUACGUUGUAGGUGUACAAUCGACGAUUUAAGAAGAAUCAGAUAUAUAACAACUGCAAAACAGUUUUACCAGCCUUUCAGGAAUGGCAGAACAUGAAGCGGAAAACAUCAAAAGUUUCUACUACCGAAGGUCUAAAGGAUAGUCCAGGGAAGGCUGCCAGCCUUUGCAUUCACAAGAAACCAAGGCUUCAAGAAUCUAGCAGUAAAAAUGGACUCAUAGUGAAACAUAAAAAGAAUUCUCAAAUCCAUCACAAGAAGAAAGAUGCACAAGUUUUAACCGAUGAAACACCUA